GCCUAUGGCCAUAUCACCCUGUGUGUACCUGACCUUGCCUAUCUGAGAAGCUAAGCAGGAUGGGGCCUGGUUAGUACCUGGGUGGGUGAAAGCCAUGGUGCAAAGGCA
rnacentral:rRNA from 1 species